rnacentral:tRNA from 1 species
AUUAUGAAGAAGUUCCACAAGUUAUAAAGGAAACUUCGGUCUGAUAAUAGAAUUUACCUUUGUUCCUCAGUA